UAAGACAGCUGGAUGAUAGCCGGGCUGAAGACUCUGCUUGACUAGCUGAGAGGAGGUGCAUGGCCGUCGUCAGUUCGUACUGUGAAGCAUCCUGUUAAGCCAGGCAACGAGCGAGACCCACGCCAACAGUUGCCAGCAUGUCCUCCGGGAUGAUGGGGACACUGUUGGGACCGCUCUGCUAAAGAGGAGGAAGGAAUGGGCAACGGUAGGUCAGCAUGCCCCGAAUUAUCCGGGCUACACGCGGGCUACAAUGGUCAGGACAAUGGGUAUCGACACCGAGAGGUGGAGGCAAUCUCCUAAACCUGUCCUUAGUUCGGAUUGUGGGCUGCAACUCGCCCACAUGAAGCUGGAAUCCGUAGUAAUCGCGUUUCAAAAUAGCGCGGUGAAUAUGUCCCUGCGUCCCU
rnacentral:rRNA from 1 species